GUACACUCCUACGGGAGGCAGCAGUGGGGAAUUUUGGACAAUGGGCGAAAGCCUGAUCCAGCCAUGCCGCGUGCAGGAUGAAGGCCUUCGGGUUGUAAACUGCUUUUGUACGGAACGAAACGGCCUUUUCUAAUAAAAAGGGCUAAUGACGGUACCGUAAGAAUAAGCACCGGCUAACUACGUGCCAGCAGCCGCGGUAAUCCGUAGGGUGCAAGCGUUAAUCGGAAUUACUGGGCGUAAAGCGUGCGCAGGCGGUUAUGUAAGACAGUUGUGAAAUCCCCGGGCUCAACCUGGGAACUGCAUCUGUGACUGCAUAGCUAGAGUACGGUAGAGGGGGAUGGAAUUCCGCGUGUAGCAGUGAAAUGCGUAGAUAUGCGGAGGAACACCGAUGGCGAAGGCAAUCCCCUGGACCUGUACUGACGCUCAUGCACGAAAGCGUGGGGAGCAAACAGGAUUAGAUACCCCUGUAGUCCCAUGAU
rnacentral:rRNA from 1 species